ACGCUCGACACCUACGGGAGGUAGCAGUGGGGAAUAUUGCACAAUGGGGGAAACCCUGAUGCAGCGACGCCGCGUGAGCGAAGAAGUAUUUCGGUAUGUAAAGCUCUAUCAGCAGGGAAGAAAAUGACGGUACCUGACUAAGAAGCACCGGCUAAAUACGUGCCAGCAGCCGCGGUAAUCUGAGGCGGGCUGGCAAGGC
rnacentral:rRNA from 1 species